GCAGGAUGCCACUUGUUCGCAUAGCUUCUUUGCAUGGAAGACCGGGACGGGAGUGAAGUUAAAUUAUUUUAAAAACCGUAUUAAUCUGUGUUGUGUGUAUGUGUCGAAGUGCGGGAUUAUAUUUUGUGUUGUGUGUCAUAAGUGUGUUAUAAGCAGUGUUAUACAAUAUAAAUAACAUCAUCGUAACUGCAUACAAAAAGUGGCUGUUUGCUGCCCCAUUGGAUCACUUGGAUGAGCCAUCGCCAUUCCAUGACGCCCUUCUGUCCUCUUCCGGUCAUGGGAGCAAGUGUAGACUUUAUUGAAGAAGUUCCCUGGGAGCCGGAAGGGCAUAUACACGGCCGAUGGCAGCUCUGGCUCGUCGACAUCGAAGUACGGAGACAGGUUCGGCUGUCUUGCAUGAGGAGUAUAGUGAAGCCGCCAUACAGAAACACAAUGCUU